CUGCUGUGCUUUGGAAGAAAAGAAGAGAGACUGAUACUAGCAGUUCCUUUCAAGCUGCAGUCUGCAGUCCCAAAAGGGGAGCCAUGAAGACACUGCCUGGGCCUUUAUUCCUGUUCUUGUGGCUGCAGCUAAAUUGUGUGAGCAGAGGAGAGAAGGUAGAGCAGCGACCUUCCUUCCUGAGUGUCCAGGAGGGAGACAGCGCUGUCAUCCACUGCACUUACACAGACAGUGCCUCCACUUACUUCUUUUGGUAUAAGCACGAGCCUGGAGCAGGUCUGCAGUUGCUCAUGCAGAUUCUUUCAAGUAUGGAGAGGAAGCAAGACCAGAGACUCACUGUCCUCCUGAGUAAGAAGGACAAACAUCUCUCCCUGAACAUCACAGCAGCUCAUCCCAGAGACUCAGCCACCUACUUCUGUGCAGCAAGAGCACAGUGCUCCCCAGACACCUGCAGCCUGUCAGACAUGAUAAAAGACUAUGAUAAUCAGACAAUACAACAUAACUACUUGGAGAUUUUGGAAACUGUCUACUCUAGCAGGUUGGACUUGUCUGACCAGUCCAUCACAGAACCAGACUGGGACCUCUUCACAGAUGUAAGCAGCUUCAUGGAAAAUGGCCAGCGAGUAGCUGGAUAUGCUGUAGCCAUGGAACAACAGGUAUUGGAAGCCUAG